CACAUACAAAAAUCUGCCUUUCUUUUUCUUCCUAAACAGAUAUCUCUCCAGGUGGCCCCCAUCACCCUGACAAUGUAAAUUAACAGCUUAUCAUCAUAAGUAUAAGACAAGAGACUAGAAAUCAUCCCACUGCCCACCCAGAGAUGAAUGCAUAUUUAACUUCUUCUUCUACAAGUGAAGAAAACUUUUUUGAGCUAUUUAUAGCUUUUAACAAUUGAGUAAAAGUAUUCUCUUGUGAGCAAAAUUUGAAGGAUAUUUCUUUCUCUCAACAUAAUUUCUCCAGAAUUUGGAAACUAUUUGUGAGUAUUCUUAAUUUAUGACAAAAUAGUUAAUUGCAUAAGUUCAACAAAAUUCUACUUUCUUUUACAACAGGGUGCAAUUUUAGACACUGGUAUUUUACAAAGGCUUUGACUGAAUGGCAUAUUUUCAGGUAUGACCAGACUGCUUUGAGAAAUUGAAGGUGACUUACAGGUGAAAGCUUCUUAGGAAAACCAGCCUCACACCUUACCUAUGCAGUUUCUGAGAGUGUUCUUGAUCUGUGAUAAAUAAGUCACUUUCUGACAGGCCCAGGAAUACCAGGUUGUCUUGGGACCUUAAGAAGAGAGGACUUCACCCAAACUCAUACACCUAUCUGCAGCACAGAUAAAUCCCUGGCUGGGCUCAAGGCUUUUGAAAAGUCGAAUCUGAGGGUAUACAUAUAUAUAUAUAUACAUAUAUAUAUAUAUAUAUAUACAUAUAUAUAUAUAUAUAUAUAGACACACACAUAUAUAUAUACACACAUUUAUAUAUAUACACAUAUACACACACACACAUAUUUAUAUGAGCUCCAACAAAGCCAAUAUUAAAAAAUGAAGCCUAUGUAGAAAACAAUUAUUCUUGCCAAACAUUAUGCAAAUAAUGAGAUUAUGUAUAAAUAAGACAAAAAUUUAUUUUGCAAAUAAUUUAGUCCUACUAUGAUUUGUCAUUGGUAAAAAUGGAGGACUAGAGAGAAAAAACAUGUUUCAAAAGAAACUAUAGAACACCUGCUGUUAGAUCCUUGUCCUUUGCUUUUCAGUUUUAUUGUCUACAAUUUAUUUUGACUGAAUCCUGAAUUCUUUCCUGGCUACAAGUCUCCAGACUAAUGUUUUUUUUCUCCUUUUUCUUUCAUUUUUCUCCCAUUUUUUCUCUGACUUGGAAUCAUUAGAAAUUAAAACUGUGCUUUUCUUAAAGCCCUGUGAACUGAAGCUAGACAACUUAAACUUUGGGAGAAAUAAUAGCAACUUAUUUAUAUAUAUAAACCAUGUUUGUACCUGCCUACCGAUAUAUGGACCUCAGAGUAGUAUGGCCUAAAUCAGUUUUUCAAGAUUGCUUUCCACUUUUGUUGUUAUGAUCUUUUCUCCUUUUUUCCUUCACUUUCAUUCUCUCUUCCUCCCCCUAUUUUUCUCUGUGGGACAUGAGACUUUACAAUCUGCUACCAAUGAGCCCCUUCAACAAUGUGGAACCUAACCAUCUAGGAAUAAACUGUCCCAAUGACUGGGGAUCAGACCAAACCUGUGAUUAAAGACUCAUUUUUUUCUACAAUGCUUUCUCCAAAAUAUUUUUAAGAAGAAAGG
rnacentral:lncRNA from 10 species